rnacentral:rRNA from 1 species
GACGUAGGGCGCGAGCGUUGUCCGGAUUUAUUGGGCGUAAAGAGCUCGUAGGCGGCUUGUCGCGUCGGCUGUGAAAACCCGCGGCUCAACUGUGGGCGGGCAGCUGAUACGGGCAGGCUGGAGUUCGGUAGGGGAGACUGGAAUUCCUGGUGUAGCGGUGAAAUGCGCAGAUAUCAGGAGGAACACCAGUGGCGAAGGCGGUGCUCUGGGCCGGAACUGACGCUGAUGAGCGAAAGCGUGGGGAGCAAACAGG